rnacentral:rRNA from 1 species
CUAACGAGGAUUCCCUUAGUAACUGCGAGUGAAGUGGGAAAAGCUCAAAUUUAAAAUCUGGCAGCGUCUGGUUGUCCGAGUUGUAACCUAGAGAAGUGCAGCCUGUGCUGGACCAUGUAUAAGUCUCCUGGAAUGGAGUGUCACAGAGGGUGAGAAUCCCGUGUUCGACAUGGACUGCCAGUGCAUUGUGGUGUGCUCUCAAAGAGUCGAGUUGUUUGGGAAUGCAGCUCUAAACGGGUGGUAAAUUCCAUCUAAAGCUAAAUAUUGGCGAGAGACCGAUAGCGAACAAGUACCGUGAGGGAAAGAUGAAAAGAACUUUGGAAAGAGAGUUAAACAGUACGUGAAAUUGUUGAAAGGGAAACAUUUAAAGUCAGUUGUGUUGGCUGGGGAUCAACCUGGUUUAUUGCUUGGGUGUAUUUCCUGGUUGACAGGUCAACAUCAGUUCUGACCGGUAGAAAAAAGCUAAGGAAAUGUGGCACCUUUGGGUGUGUUAUAGUCCUUGGUUGUAUCUGGUGGUUGGGACUGAGGAAUGCAGCACACCGCAAGGGCGGUCGCCAGGCCAUUCAUU